rnacentral:rRNA from 1 species
GAAAUCAGUUCAGCACUAAGUCACUUUGUCUUUAUGGCAAAUGUGAGAUGCAGUGUAUGGAAUGUCAAAUUUCUAGUAUGAGAAAUUAACGAUUUAAGUCCUUCUUAAAUGAGGCCAUUUACCCAUAGAGGGUGCCAGGCCCGUAUAACGUUAAUGAUUACUAGAUGGCAUUUCCAAAGAGUCGUGUUGCUUGAUAGUGCAGCACUAAGUGGGUGGUAAACUCCAUCUAAAACUAAAUAUAACCAUGAGACCGAUAGUAAACAAGUACCGUGAGGGAAAGUUGAAAAGAACUCUGAAUAGAGAGUUAAAUAGUACGUGAAACUGCUUAGAGGUUAAGCCCGAUGAACCUGAAUAUCCAUUAUAGAAAAUUCAUCAUUAUGAUUUUAAUAUUAAUAAUAUUAUAAUAAUGGUGUGCAUUUUUUCUAUAACGGACAUUGUAAUCUAUUAACAUAAAUAUAUUUAUCAUAAGAUCAAUGAUGCGUAAGUUUAUUCAAAUUAUUUUGCUUGCAAUUUAACAUAGAAUAAAUGCUCUUGAUUUGAUAAAGUGUUGAUAGAUUUAUUGUAUAUAGUGCUUAAAUAUUUAUAUUUUAUAAUAGCAUAUUAAUCAUUGAUUUUUAUGUUUAUUAUAUGCACUUAUAUGAUUAACAAUGCGAAAGAUUCAGGAUACCUUCGGGACCCGUCUUGAAACACGGACCAAGGAGUCUAACAUAUUUGCAAGUUAUUGGGUAUCAAAACCUAAUAGCGAAAUUAACAUAACUUUAAUGGGAUUAGUUUUUAGAUUAUUUAUAGUCUAUUAAUUCAAUCCCGGGGCGUUCUAUAUAGUUAUGUAUAAUAAUAUUUAUAUUAUUUAUACCUCUAACUAGAGCGUACCUUGAGCAUAUAUGCUGUGACCCGAAAGAUGGUGAACUAUACUUGAUCAGGUUGAAGUCAGGGGAAACCCUGAUGGAAGACCGAAACAGUUCUGACGUGCAAAUCGAUUGUCAGAAUUGAGUAUA